rnacentral:lncRNA from 1 species
GUGAAAUGUUAUAGCCACUGGAGUUUUCUGCCUGGCUGAUCCUGCAUUAAUUUGCAAUGAGCAUUAGUCUUGUGAUUUAUGGACUGCCAGGUUCCCUGAGUAGAAUAACUUCCUUGAAGAAAGCUUCUCACCCACAGGACGGCUCAGACAGAGAGUUUCACUUGUCUCUGCCAGCAUGGGAUCUUGAAAGAAGAAAAGGGCAGGCAGGACAUGGCAGGUGUCUCCUUUGGACACAUGGGAUCUGUCCAGCCCGAAGGGAAACUACAGAUGAAGUUUUCAUAUCCCAGAAACUAGGACUUUUUUGGGUAACUGGCUCAUCUAUAUGAAUCAUCUCUUGUCCGUGGAUUGGGCUUUGAUAAGCCCUGAAGAGCUCCUCUCCAGUUUUCUAGUUCAGCACUGUGGUCUCUGGCCUCAGACAUCUCUGCAGCACUGAAAGCCCUGUAGAACACUUGAGAGUUUUGCCAGCACCUACAUAGGAGUGCUGCCUGUAUGGGGUUUGUGUGGAUUGCUGCCCAGCAGUUAAUGCACAGGCAUGCAGAAAACUCAAGAAAAGGCUAUUGAGAAAAGCCAGUGGGCUGCAGUAAGAAAGAUUCAAAUCUGCAUGGCAAUGCCUUGGAAUAAUGUUUGCAUGCCAGCGAAGACAACACCUUCAC